AAUGCGAACAUCAUGGGCGAGAGUGGGCGCGCAAGGUCGAAACAGGUUGCCCCGCCAGAAAGCAGAAAGUGGGUGGCUGUGGCGGUGGGUGGUGGUAGUGCCGCAAAUAACGCUAAGUUGUGAAUAAACCAAAAGUGCGUGCCCGCUGAUUGGGCCAAGUUAGGCUGCGAACAGAUCAACAAUCCUACACGGCGUAAACAAACACAAAUACAAACACAAACACACGAGUGCCAAAGUUUACCGUCACGUGCUUGUCAACAAGAACGUCUUGGCGUCUUUUAUAACGCCGUGACCCCGGCACGCUGAAGCUUUACAAGUGACCUCCGGUUGCGUGGACUUUGCACUUGGCCAACUGAAACGGCGACUGAAACUACCGAACUAACGUCCCACAGCGCUUUCAUCAUACUUUUAGGGCGAUGGAAGGACAUGGCCUGUCGGCAUUUCCUGCAGUGCAGUGCACGAAGGACAUCCUCGCCUACAUCAAACGAGAGCGCCCACAAGGGAUACAGUUGUUAACGUGGCCAAGGAGCAGCGACUGUGGCGGGGACAAAAACACAAACAUGGUUGCCACGAGUGUCGUGAAGGACGAUGGACGAAGGACGAAGGACGACGAGGGCCGCAGGACGCUCUUGCAGUUGAAGGAGCAGAGCACUUUAUGUGCAUAUAAUGUCCGCUCGCACCCAAACACCGCACACCAGCACACACACCAUUACACCCGCACACACUAACACACAGGAAGAGGGAAAACUUGGAGUACAGUGUCGGCCAAGUUGCGGGGAAUUGUUAAUAUUGUCUGGGCCUGUAAGCAGCAUUUACAUGCUGGCCAACACCACGUACUACAUACGUCGUCCUGGCUGAUGGACGUUGGCCAAUGCUUCUCCUGCUCCUUCUGUUCCUGCUCCUUCUGUUCCUGCUCCUCCUUUUUCUGCCCCUGCGGAUGAUGCCCGGCUUUAAAUGUUGAAUUAACCGACGAAGCCGGCUGCUUUCAUUAGAGGCGUAGGACGGAUCCACUGAAGGAGGAGGUUCGGGAUGUGGAAAGCCCAAAUGCCGAUGCAUUCUUGAUUCGUGACAUUAAGACAAAAAUAAACUUGAUUUUGGUAUGAAAUUGAUUCAUUCACUUUCAAUCCAUUGAGUAAGAUUCUUAUCCGAUGGAUGAGUCUCUCCAGCCUCAUCUCUUCCAACUUCCAACUGUGUGGACAUCCAACAGGUAGUCAAACCAGACAAACCGUCUCCAAUUCGACGAGGAUUGCCUUUCCUCCUCUUCGUUUGCUUUUAAGAUUCGACAGUGAAUGAUGCAAAACACUUACAAAUGCUAACAGGAGAAUAUUACAUGGAUAUGUGUUGACUAUGGACAUACAAAUAACUUCGCGAAUUAUAUUAAUUCUUUGUAUACACCUUAAUAUGGAAUUGUAAGGAUUGCAAUAUGUAUUUAGUUUGUAUGGACCUGUGCUGUGCUUACUAACAUGGGAUAUCGACUUGACAACCGAAAACAUUUAAUGGCUGAUUUUGAAGGACUGGAUAAUUUAAAAAAAAAUUUUGUUAAUAAAAAUCUGAAUAAUAUUGUUAACAUAAUGUACAUAAAUACAGUUGUAAUAUGAUUAUACUUUCAAAAAUAGACAAAACAAAAAUAAAAAUAUUUAAACAUU